rnacentral:tRNA from 1 species
UGAACAGAUGCUCUCUGGUUUGGGCGCUUAGCUGUUAACUAAGAGUUUGAAGGAUCGAGGCCUUCCUGUUCAG